rnacentral:rRNA from 1 species
GACGGACGCUGGCGGCGUGCUUAACACAUGCAAGUCGAACGGAAAGGCCCUGCUUUUGUGGGGUGCUCGAGUGGCGAACGGGUGAGUAACACGUGAGUAACCUGCCCUGACUUUGGGAUAACUUCAGGAAACUGGGGCUAAUACCGGAUAGGAGCUCCUGCUGCAUGGUGGGGGUUGGAAAGUUUCGGCGGUUGGGGAUGGACUCGCGGCUUAUCAGCUUGUUGGUGGGGUAGUGGCUUACCAAGGCUUUGACGGGUAGCCGGCCUGAGAGGGUGACCGGCCACAUUGGGACUGAGAUACGGCCCAGACUCCUACGGGAGGCAGCAGUGGGGAAUAUUGCACAAUGGGCGGAAGCCUGAUGCAGCAACGCCGCGUGCGGGAUGACGGCCUUCGGGUUGUAAACCGCUUUCGCCUGUGACGAAGCGUGAGUGACGGUAAUGGGUAAAGAAGCACCGGCUAACUACGUG